rnacentral:rRNA from 1 species
GAUGAACGCUGGCGGCGUGCCUAAUACAUGCAAGUCGAGCGAACAGACGAGGAUCUUGCUCCUCUGACGUUAGCGGCGGACGGGUGAGUAACACGUGGAUAACCUACCUAUAAGACUGGGAUAACUUCGGGAAACCGGAUCUAAUACCGGAUAAUAUAUUGAAGCGCAUGGGUCAAUAGUGAAAUACGGUUUUUCUGUCACUUAUAGAUGGAUCCGGGCCGGUUUAGAUGGUUGUUAAGGUAACGGCUUACCAAGGCGACGAUGCGUAGACGAAGUGCGGGGCGGGUCGGCGACCUGGGAACUGGGACAGGGUCCAGGCGCCUGCGGGAGGCAGCAGUCGGCAAUCUUACGCAACGGGCGAGAGCCUGGCGGAGUAACGCGGAGCGAGUGGUGAAGGUCUUCGGAUCGUAAAGAUCUGUUACUGGGGAAGAACAAAUGUGUAAGUAAACAUAGACGUCUUGACGGUACCUAAUCAGAAAGCACCGGCUAACUACGUG